rnacentral:rRNA from 1 species
ACGGGGCCCGCACAAGCGGUGGAGCAUGUGGUUUAAUUCGAUGCAACGCGAAGAACCUUACCUGGUCUUGACAUCCACAGAACUUUCCAGAGAUGGAUUGGUGCCUUCGGGAACUGUGAGACAGGUGCUGCAUGGCUGUCGUCAGCUCGUGUUGUGAAAUGUUGGGUUAAGUCCCGCAACGAGCGCAACCCUUAUCCUUUGUUGCCAGCGGUCCGGCCGGGAACUCAAAGGAGACUGCCAGUGAUAAACUGGAGGAAGGUGGGAUGACGUCAAGUCAUCAUGGCCCUUACGACCAGGGCUACACACGUGCUACAAUGGCGCAUACAAAGAGAAGCGACCUCGCGAGAGCAAGCGGACCUCAUAAAGUGCGUCGUAGUCCGGAUUGGAGUCUGCAACUCGACUCCAUGAAGUCGGAAUCGCUAGUAAUCGUGGAUCAGAAUGCCACGGUGAAUACGUUCCCGGGCCUU